UACGUAGGGCGCAAGCGUUGUCCGGAAUUAUUGGGCGUAAAGAGCUCGUAGGCGGCUUGUCACGUCGGUCGUGAAAGCCCGGGGCUUAACCCCGGGUCUGCAGUCGAUACGGGCAGGCUAGAGUUCGGUAGGGGAGAUCGGAAUUCCUGGUGUAGCGGUGAAAUGCGCAGAUAUCAGGAGGAACACCGGUGGCGAAGGCGGAUCUCUGGGCCGAUACUGACGCUGAGGAGCGAAAGCGUGGGGAGCGAACAGG
rnacentral:rRNA from 1 species